CAGCUCUUGUGGCAACACACCUCCACGAACCCAAGCUCCCUUCUGUCAAAAUGCCAGAACCUGACGACACUGUGCCAGCCGCCUGCCAGGUGAUCAAAGAGGACAUUGACAAAUGUGUUAAGGAAAAGGGAGCAGAGCACUGCAAAGAUCUUAUAGAUGCCUUCGAGGUCUGCAGAAAAACUCUGUCUGAGGGAUCAUAAUGAAAAGGAGAAACACUCUAUAAGAAUCCUCACUUCAAAGUCCUUCACUUUCCCAACCCCUUCCUUGCUUGUUUCACUGGACUGCACCAUCUGAGAGCCGAGGAGGGGGUUGAUGAUUCUGCACUUCUGAUACUACAUGUUGUCAAUAUGUACCUUUUCUAUGAUGAAUUUUUAUGAUUCCAUGAUGGGCUGAAUUCAAAUGUUGAUCAUGUAUGCGCUGUAAUUUUCUUUUGCACGAAAAUGCACAAUGCAAUAAAUUGAAAGUGUUGUCCACUGACAGAAUGCAGUACAGUAUGUCAUAUUUCUUAACAAAUCCCAAUUCAGUCCUUUCUUUGAAAACAGCAAAUUGUUGUCUGAAUGGGCUGUUUUAAAAUCCGUCCACUGGCCCGGGAAUAAGCACCC